CAAUAAGCGGAGGAAAAGAAACCAACAGGGAUUGCCUCAGUAACGGCGAGUGAAGCGGCAACAGCUCAAAUUUGAAAUCUGGCUCUUUCAGGGUCCGAGUUGUAAUUUGUAGAAGAUGCUUCGGGUGUGGCUCCGGUCUAAGUUCCUUGGAACAGGACGUCAUAGAGGGUGAGAAUCCCGUACGUGACUGGUUGCCUUCGCCCAUGUGAAGCUCUUUCGACGAGUCGAGUUGUUUGGGAAUGCAGCUCAAAAUGGGUGGUAAAUUUCAUCUAAAGCUAAAUAUUGGCCAGAGACCGAUAGCGCACAAGUAGAGUGAUCGAAAGAUGAAAAGCACUUUGGAAAGAGAGUUAAACAGUACGUGAAAUUGUUGAAAGGGAAGCGCUUGCAACCAGACUUGCACGCUGCCGAUCAUCCGGGGUUCUCUCCGGUGCACUCGGUUGCGUUCAGGCCAGCAUCGGUUUGGGUGGUUGGAUAAAGGCUGUGGGAAUGUAGCUUCUCUCGGGGAGUGUUAUAGCCCACGGUGCAAUGCAGCCUACCUGGACCGAGGACCGCGCUUCGGCUAGGAUGCUGGCGUAAUGGUUGUAAGCGACCC
rnacentral:rRNA from 1 species